rnacentral:rRNA from 1 species
UAUCUUGUUUAUGGGUGUACAGUGGAUGCCUAGGCAGGGGAGUGGAUGAAGGCCGUGGUAAGCUGCGAUAAGCCCGGGGGAGGAGCAAACAUCCUGUGAUCCCGGGAUCGCCGAAUGGGGAAACCCGUUCCGACGAAAGUCGGAACAUCUCUGGUAAGCAUUGCUUGCCAGAGAGCAUACACCCGGGGAACUGAAACAUCUUAGUACCCGGAGGAAAAGAAAUCAACUGAGAUUCCCUUAGUAGCGGCGAGCGAACGGGGAACAGCCUAAACCGUACGUAUGUAAAAGCGUGUGCGCGUUGUACGUACGGGGUUGUAGGGGCUGUCUGGAGGAAGGCACACCUUCCUCGGGAAGUUACAAAUCCUAAGGGUAGCCGAAGUGGUUGGAAUCCCACACCAUAGAAGGUGAAAGUCCUGUAGGCGAAACUCUUAGGACUUCCUGGGACAGCUUCCUGAGUACCACGGGACACGUGGAAUCCUGUGGGAAUCUGGGGGGACCACCCUCCAAGGCUAAAUACUAACCCCUGACCGAUAGCGCAACCAGUACCGUGAGGGAAAGGUGAAAAGAACCCCGGAAGGGGAGUGAAAUAGAACCUGAAACUGUAUACCCACAAGCUGUCCGAGCCCUGGUUGGUCUCGAACUUUUGUUCGGGAUCAGGGGUGAGGGCGUGCCUGUUGAAGAAUGAUCCGGCGAGUUAUUAUGGCUACCGAGUUUAACCACUGCCGUGAGGAGCGGCGUGGGUAGGCGAAGGGAAACCGAGUCUGAAUAGGGCGUAUUAGGUAGCCAUAAUAGACCCGAAACCAGUCGAUCUACCCCUGAGCAGGGUGAACUCCGUAGAAAUACGGAGGGAGGCCCGAACCCUUUGGCGUUGAAAAGCCACUGGAUGACUCGGGGGUAGGGGUGAAAGGCCAAUCAAGCCUGGAGAUAGCUGGUUCUCCCCGAAAUAGCUUUAGGGCUAGCCUGGGGAGUUAACCGUUGGGGGUAGAGCACUGGAUGGUGUAGGGGCGGUAACCCCGCUUCCGAAUCCAACCAAACUCCGAAUACCAACGGGUAUCUCCCUGGAGUCAGUGGCAGGGGGACAAGCUCCUGUCGCAAGAGGGGAACAGCCCAGAUCCCCAACUAAGGUUCCCAAGUCUAGGCUAAGUGGGAAAGGAUGUGGAAUCGCUAAGACACCCAGGAUGUUGGCUUAGAAGCAGCCAUCAUUUAAAGAGUGCGUAACAGCUCACUGGGAGAGCGGUUCUGCACCGAAAAUUCCCGGAGCUUAAGCCUAGCACCGAAGUUGGGAGUGUAGCCUGGUUCGCCCAGGUUACGCGGUAGGGGAGCGUUCCCACUGCAGUGAAGUCGCAUCGUAAGAUGCGGUGGAGCGGUGGGAAGUGAGGAUGUCGGAAUAAGUAGCGAUAAAGGUGGUGAGAAUCCACCUCGCCGUAAGCCUAAGGUUUCCUUGGGCAAUGUUCGUCAGACCAGGGUUAGUCGGUCCUAAGCCGUAGCCGAAAGGCGAAGGUGAAGGGAAUCCGGUUAACAUUCCGGAACCACCUUGUAAGGGUUAGUCACUACCUGUGUGCGCAUCAGAGUAAGGCCAGCCUCGUGUCAACUUACGAGGUUUAAUCCAGGGGCGACCCUGGAGAAUACGAAGCCAGGUGUAGCAGCCUGGUGGAAGUGGCUGAAUCUGGUGCCGAGAAAAGCACAGGUUAGGACCUUACAGGGUGACCGUACCGCAAACCGACACAGGUGGGCGGCCAGAAUAUGGUCAGGCGCGCGGGAUAACCUCCGCUAAGGAACUCGGCAAAUUGGCCCCGUGUCUUCGGUGGAAGGGGUGCCUACUACCUCGUGGUAAAACCAUGAGGUGUGGGUCGCAGUUAAGAGCCUCCUACGACUGUUUACCAAAAACACAGGUCCCUGCUAAAAGCGUAAGCUGAUGUAUAGGGACUGACGCCUGCCCGGUGCCGGAAGGUUAAGGGGAGGGGUUAGCCUUGACUUUUGUCAAGGCGAAGCUCCGAACCUAAGCCCCGGUAAACGGCGGCCGUAACUAUAACGGUCCUAAGGUAGCGAAAUUCCUUGUC